GACGAACGCUGGCGGCGUGCCUAAUACAUGCAAGUCGAACGCAGUGGGGACGGUUGAGUAACACGUGGGUAACCUCCCAUCAGAGGGGAUAACACUUGGAAACCGGUGCUAAACCGAUACUGAUGGAUGGACCCGCGGUGCAUUAGAUAGUUGGUGAGGUAACGGCUCACCAAGGCCACGAUGCAUAGCCGACCUGGUAGGGUGAUCGGCCACACGGAGACUGAGACACGGCCCAGCCUCCUACGGGAGGCAGCAGUAGGGAAGCUUCGGAAAUGGACUAAAGUCUGACCGAGCAACGACGCGUGAGUGAAGAAGGGUUUCGGAUCGUAAAACUCUGUUGUUAGAGAAGCGGUAUCUAACCAGAAAGCCACGGCUAACUACGUGCCAGCAGCCGCGGUAAUUC
rnacentral:rRNA from 1 species